GAGGUUGUGGUAGGAGAAAGAUGAGAAGAAGGAGAAAGAGGGAAAGAAGAAGGGUUACAACUAAAGUUAAUGCUAGUUAAUGAUGACUUGGACGAAGAACCAAAAACCAAGUGUGUACGAGCUCAUAUAUUUUCUUGAACGACCUGGUCGUCGGCGACUGAUGUUGACCAUGCGCAAUGGGUCUUGGCGUCGAUACUUUGACGACGAGAACGUGCUAAAGUACCUAUAGCCACUUAUCGUCACAACGCUUUCUAUUGCAGUGCUCGAUACAGAUUUCAAGGAAGAAGCGAAGCAACACAUUAUCGAGGCUUCUUAUCGAAUGUUCGCAGAAGGAAAAAGAAAAGGUAGAUUGAACUUUUCUUUUUGUUGAACACACGGUAGCAGAGGAGAUGUUCUAGUGAGCUUAAUGCACUGUACUCGUAUACGCUAGAAGCAAAUAAAAUGGAAAGAGCGAGGAAGAGGACGAACGAACGACGAGAAAAAGAGAGGACGUAAUUUUUAGUUUUAUCGACAUUUAGGCCGACGUUCACGCUCCCUUGGUGAACGUAGUGGGAAGGAGAGAAAAAAAGCAGGGACACUUUGUCGUAUGUCCUCUGAUCCUUGAAAAUUAACUUAUGGUUUAUUAAAUUUUUUUACAGUAGUCGACGCACCUUUCAUCUUCCUGGGAUUUCGUGUAACUCGGAAAAAAAUUUCUUUCUCUCAUUCUGUCUGUCAUCCUUAUUCAAAAGUACAGUCAAACGUAAAAAAGAAUCCUGACAUACAGGAAGAACAUCGAAUGAAGAGAAAAACGUAAGGACUUGAAAGAAAAGUCAAGAUGGAUGGAAAAGACUGUGAAAAAUCAUAGGAAAAAGAGAGAGGGUUGAAGAAAACCCCGUUGGAUUAUUAAUGAAAUUGCUCCUCGAAUCAGGCGUUACACCGUUUUAACGGAAAUGACGUUCGCAACAGCCACUCGACACCUUUUUACGCUAUUUCAUCGGCAUCGCUCGAUUCACCUCGUUCGGAAAGGACAAGUUCCUUUUCAAAGGUGUUCCACGCUCGGCGACCAUGACCGUUCACACCCAAGGAGAGGAUCCUUCUCACGUUUAGUCAUCCUCCAGCGGACGAAAAAAAGAAAGAAGAGAAGGCGUAGAAGGAGAGGAAGGAAGAAAAGAGGAAAGAAAAAAAGAGAGAGGAAGAUCGCAAUCGUGCCUGUGUCAUGACAUCGGCAACGAAUCUUAAGGGAGAACUCACAAGUCGAAGAAGCCAUUCGUAAUAGAUGGACUACUGACUGAGUAGGACCUUGACUUUGUCCGUGGCAGAUAAUGUCCUCGCUGUCUUUCCCUUUGUCGUCGACUAGAACGAUGAAACUGCCUCGCACCAGGAGGAAACACAAAGCAAGAGAAGGACGACAUCCGGUCCCGGAGUGCUUGUGUGUCGUUCAACUCCGAUUAUCUCACAGGAAAGCGAACGAUCUCUCGCAUAUCUCUCUGAUAUUUUCUCGGGCAAAUUCUCUUUUGGAUUGACGAUAACAACUAAUUAGCAACUAUAUCGUAAUAAAUCAUAGAUAAAGAAAUAGUUAGAUCUCGCCAGUUUUUUUAAUCAUAUAUUUUUCUAGUUAUGUUUUUUUAAACGCAACCCAUACAUACUAUGUUUUUUUAAGACAUUCGUAUUUUAUUUUGCGAUGAUGUAUCGUAGUAAAUAAUGAUGGAUUAUAUAAUAAAAUUCUUAAUUCUUACAUUAAUUUCAAACGUGCCCAGGAACUUGUGUUCAUUACAACUUUUUCGUUACGAUCCGAUUUUUUUAGAAAUACCAGCCACGUUUGUUGUGAUCAUAGUUAAGUAUUAAGACUGAAAUAAAAUUCAAUUUUGUCUUAAAUUAUUUUUGUGAGACGCAACUUGUGCAUGUAUAUAAUUUUUUUAAACAUUGAUAAUUUAAUUUGUCGAGUUCCUAAGAAAACUGUUUUCAAAAUAAAAAACUGAAAAAAUAAAAAACUUAACUCGACAAGGAUGAUUACUUAUCCGUAGUAUUACGAUAACUCAUUCUUAUCAGCAUCGGAUAAAAGUAAUAGCGCACGUAUUCCUCUUUAUAUAUUCAAGACACACUAUAUAUAUAUUUUUUUUCUUUUAUAUGCUUUCUUUGAAUUGUACAUCCUUCAGAAGGGUUUUAUUCGAGAGAAGAUUGAAAUUUUUUUGAAUACGCAACGCUAUUGUUUCGACCCGCUGGAAUUUUUCUUUUUUUUUUGAAAAACGAACACCUUCAAUCCUGAGAAAUACCUAUUCUUGACAUAAAUCGUAUUUCCUGGUAAGUAUGUUUUACGAGGGUAUUUUCAUGAUUGAAUAACUACAAUUUUUUGUUUUUCAUUUUCCACCAAGUAUGAAUGAAAGUGACGGAAGCUUUCAUGAUCUUGACAAUCAAAGAUAUUUGCCGAAGAAAAAGACAAAUUUCUAUUCGUGUUCUGUUUGUAAAAUGAAGCGAGAAGAGCAGAGCUGAAUGAUUUGUCCGAUUACAGGCCAAACCAGAGAAUGACGAUCAAUGAAAAUGUGAGCCUCGAAGGAAAUGUAGGAAAGACGUAGAGAAAGGCGUAGGAGAUUCUCGACGGAUGAGGAGUAGAAAAAAGGAAAGGAAGAAGAUGAGUCUGGGAUAUCAUCGUCUAUAAAUACUCGUAUGGCCUCGGGCAAGGACGUCGUUAUUCACGGAGGAUGAUCUUCUACCUGCUUCAAUCUCUUGCCACGACGACAACUACGACUACGAUAAGAAUGAAGACGACGACACGAGUUAUUUUCGAUAGAAAAGGAUAAAAAAUCUCAAAAUGUAUUCUCGAAAGAGCUGUGUUAAUCGUCAAUUACUCCAAAGAAAUUUGAUCAAACGUUACGAGAUUAUGUUGGAACAUUGGCGUGGAAUUUUAAAAGAAAUUUGUUUCACUUUUUUAAAUUGUUCUCGAUAGGUCAUAGACGUAUUAUUACGUAUAAUGGAAUUUUUGAUUAAGUGAAAAAUAAAUGAAAAAUAUUCAUUUUAUAUGUAGACAAUGUUUAUCGAUGAACUUUGUAGAUAAAGAAGUCUAAGUAUGUAUGAAUGUAGGUACACAACUUAAGUAUAAUGAGCUUAGGAAUUUGAUAUAUAAUGGAUCGUCCGCAAUGAGGCGACGGCGACGUGGUGUACGUUGCUCUUGUUGAAAAUCCGCCUAUCACUUCGCAAUGGAUCAAUCUCUCUUGCAAUGGAACGUAACCUCAGUUAAUUAGCCUUUGUUAUGCAAUGUUUGAACGUAUGCGGUAAUCAGAUUAUGUUGUAAUUUGAUCUAAUUAAACUUAUUUUCGAAAUGUUGCCCGGUUAUUGCGGGGAAGGCUAAUGAUCCCAAUAUCGAACAUGAAACAUCAACCGUUUCUCAUCAUUUUCUUCGAAUUGUAAAAAUUGUAAAAAUUCUGCAGAGCAUGUUUCUCAUAACAAAAGUUCUUUAUAACAAUAUUUCUUUGUAUUACGGGAGAUGAGAAGUAUCCAUCAGUAAAGUGA